rnacentral:rRNA from 1 species
GGGAUUCGGUCUUUCGGGACUGAUGAGAGUGGCGGACGGGUGCGUAACGCGUAUGCAACCUACCUUAUACUGCGGGAUAGCCCGGGGAAACUCGGAUUAAUACCGCAUGGUAUACAGAGACCGCAUGGUGCUUUGUAUUAAAGAUUUAUCGGUAUAAGCUGGGCAUGCGUAGGAUUAGUUAGUUGGCGGGGUAACGGCCCACCAAGACUGUGAUCCUUAGGGGUUCUGAGAGGAAGGUCCCCCACACUGGCACUGAGAUACGGGCCAGACUCCUACGGGAGGCAGCAGUAGGGAAUAUUGGGCAAUGGGCGGAAGCCUGACCCAGCCAUGCCGCGUGCAGGAAGACGGCGUUCUGCGUUGUAAACUGCUUUUAUACGGGAAGAAACACCUCUACGUGUAGAGGCUUGACAGUACCGUAAGAAUAAGGACCGGCUAACUCCGUGCCAGCAGCCGCGGUAAUACGGAGGGUCCAAGCGUUGUCCGGAUUUAUUGGGUUUAAAGGGUACGUAGGCGGGAUAUUAAGUCAGUGGUGAAAGCCUCCAGCUCAACUGGAGAACUGCCAUUGAAACUGAUAUUCUUGAGUGUGGAUGAGGUGGUUGGAAUAUAACAUGUAGCGGU